AGUGAACGCUGGCGGUAGGCCUAACACAUGCAAGUCGAACGGCAGCACAGGAGAGCUUGCUCUCUGGGUGGCGAGUGGCGGACGGGUGAGGAAUACAUCGGAAUCUACUCUGUCGUGGGGGAUAACGUAGGGAAACUUACGCUAAUACCGCAUACGACCUACGGGUGAAAGCAGGGGAUCUUCGGACCUUGCGCGAUUGAAUGAGCCGAUGUCGGAUCAGCUAGUUGGCGGGGUAAAGGCCCACCAAGGCGACGACCCGUAGCUGGUCUGAGAGGAUGGGCAGCCACACUGGAACUGAGACACGGUCCAGACUCCUACGGGAGGCAGCAGUGGGGAAUAUUGGACAAUGGGCGCAAGCCUGAUCCAGCCAUACCGCGUGGGUGAAGAAGGCCUUCGGGUUGUAAAGCCCUUUUGUUGGGAAAGAAAUCCAGCUGGCUAAUACCCGGUUGGGAUGACGGUACCCAAAGAAUAAGCACCGGCUAACUUCGUGCCAGCCGCCGCCGUAA
rnacentral:rRNA from 1 species